GACAACAGCAAAACAAGAAAUGACUCUCAGAAUGUUGGAUACAUCUGAUAACUGAAAGAGCUCUUCUCAGCCAGUAACAAGGAUGCCAUUUAGUAACCCUUAAAAGGUUUAUUCCAUCUGAUAUGCAGAUUUGAGCCUUCCGGGAUUGAGUUGCUUCUCUGUUGUGCCUAGUGCAGUGAUAUUUAUGAGCCAGAAUCCGUAGUUAUUGAACUGUAUCAUCUUUGACAGUAUUUCAGGAGCUAAGCUCUUCUGGAGAUCUCUUAAAAUGACAAGUUCUGAGUUGUUUUAAGGACUCUGUCCCAUUUCAGUUUGAAAGGUGAGACAGUCCAAAAAAAAGGUGGCCUUUGCCUAAAUUAACAAGGUUAAGUUAUAAAUGGAGUGAAUAGUAUAAAGUAUUUUUUGUGUGUCUUCUUUCACAA
rnacentral:lncRNA from 1 species